CCUAACACAUGCAAGUCGAGCGGUAACAUGUCUAGCUUGCUAGAUGAUGACGAGCGGCGGACGGGUGAGUAAUGCUUGGGGAUCUGCCUUAGAGUGGAGGAUAACCAUUGGAAACGAUGGCUAAUACUGCAUAGUAUCUGCGGAUUAAAGGGGGCUUCGGCUCUUGCUUUAAGAUGAACCCAAGUGGGAUUAGCUAGUUGGUGAGGUAAUGGCUCACCAAGGCGACGAUCCCUAGCUGGUCUGAGAGGAUGAUCAGCCACACUGGAACUGAGACACGGUCCAGACUCCUACGGGAGGCAGCAGUGGGGAAUAUUGCACAAUGGGCGAAAGCCUGAUGCAGCCAUGCCGCGUGUGUGAAGAAGGCCCUAGGGUUGUAAAGCACUUUCAGUCAGGAGGAAAGGUUAGUAGUUAAUACCUGCUAGCUGUGACGUUACUGACAGAAGAAGCACCGGCUAACUUCGUGCCAGCAGCCGCGGUAAUACGAGGGGUGCAAGCGUUAAUCGGAAUUACUGGGCGUAAAGCGAGCGUAGGCGGCUGAAUAAGCUGGAUGUGAAAAACCGGGGCUCAACCUCGGCCGUGCAUUCAGAACUGUUUAGCUAGAGUCCUGU
rnacentral:rRNA from 1 species